rnacentral:rRNA from 1 species
UACGUAGGGUGCAAGCGUUAAUCGGAAUCAUUGGGCGUAAAGCGCACGUAGGCGGCUUCGCAAGUCGGAUGUGAAAUCCCUCGGCUCAACCGAGGACGUGCAUACGAAACUGCGGAGCUUGAGUGCUGAAGAGGAUCGCGGAAUUCCCGGUGUAGCGGUGAAAUGCGCAGAUAUCGGGAAGAACACCCGUGGCGAAGGCGGCUCUCUGGAACGCAACUGACGCUGAGACGCGAAAGCGUGGGGAGCAAACAGG